rnacentral:rRNA from 1 species
GCCGCGGUAACUCCAGCUCCAAUAGCGUAUAUUAAAGUUGUUGCGGUUAAAAAGCUCGUAGUUGGAUUUCAGUUUUCGGCCGGGCUCCUUCCCGUUCAAAUACGGGCGGUGAAGGGGCCUUUGGAUCGUCGGUGUCAAAGCCGCGGUCUUUUAACGGUCGGACUAUACCACCGGAGCGGGAUCGGUGGUGACUGUGCUCUUUUCGGAGGGCGCUGCUCACGGUCGCCCGCAUUUUACUGACUGGGGUGCCUUUAACCGGGUGUCCCAGCCAGCCGGUUACGUUUACUUUGAACAAAUUAGAGUGCUCAAAGCAGGUGCAUUUUCGCCUGAAUAUCACAGCAUGGAAUGAUGGAAUAGGACCUCGGUCUUAUUUUGUUGGUUUUUCUAGACCCGAGGUAAUGGUUAAUAGA